rnacentral:antisense_RNA from 3 species
CUUAAUGGUGGCUGUGUUUGGGACGCCUUUGAGCGUGCCGGACUUGUGUGUUCCUUCGGUUGACCAACCCGAACACAGUUCGCCUCCCAU